UACGUAGGGUCCAAGCGUUAUCCGGAAUCACUGGGCGUAAAGCGUGCGUAGGUGGCGUGUUAAGUGUGAUGUUAAAUCGUGUGGCUCAACCAUAUCGAUGUGUCGCAUACUGGCAUGCUAGAGGACAGCAGAGGCAAGUGGAAUUUGUAGUGUAGCAGUGAAAUGCGUAGAUAUUACAAGGAACACCAAUGGCGAAGGCAGCUUGCUGGGCUACUCCUGACACUGAGGUACGAAAGCGUGGGGGAGCGAACAGG
rnacentral:rRNA from 1 species